rnacentral:rRNA from 1 species
UACGGAGGGUGCAAGCGUUGUUCGGAAUCACUGGGCGUAAAGGGCGUGUAGGCGGUCCGCUAAGUCUGAUGUGAAAGCCCGGGGCUCACCCCCGGAAGGGCAUUGGAAACUGGCGGACUCGAGUCCCGGAGAGGAAGGUGGAAUUCCUGGUGUAGCGGUGAAAUGCGUAGAUAUCAGGAGGAAUACCGGUGGCGAAGGCGGCCUUCUGGACGGUGACUGACGCUGAGACGCGAAAGCGUGGGGAGCAAAUAGG